CAAAAAAGCAAGAGAAGCCAGCGCAGCAUACACGGACCCCCCUCAUCGGAUUCAUCUUCUCCUUCACUUGGAGGAAUGAAAACCGGAACCAGCCGCAACAAUGCAAAGAGGAGACCCCUCUCUGAAAUUCAUCUUCUUGGUCAUCCCCCCAAGCACGCAUGAACUUUGAAAAUUGCAGACCCUUACUCCAUCUCCACUAGUUUUUUUCAAGAGUUUUGUUUCAAGUUUUAGAUUUCUUCUUCGGGUUUCUGAUUUCAGAACGAUGGAAUUAAUCGAAGUUUGGAGCCAUUUCCGAGUUCGGAUCGUUGGAGGUUGCCGUUGAAGGUUUAAGUCUGAAAAUCUGAUUCGAUUUUUGACGAUUCUGUUUGAAGCCGCGUCGAUGUCCGACUGUAAUUGUUGCUUCAUGUACUGCGUAUAAACUUCAGCAAAUAAUUUGUUCGGAUGGGGUUUCGCCACUUCGUUAAGAGACAAUUGCUUAAGGCUUCCCAGCACCAGAUUUGUGGGAGUUAACUUGCAAAACGUGAAGAAGUUGGACUUGGAUUCUAGAUGAGAAGUUUGAGCAUGACAGACACUAUCCGGUCAGGAUCGCUCAGUCAGGAGUUGCUUAAGGAGAUUUGUUUUAUUUUUAUAUUUUGAGUCUGUUCUUCAUUUUAU